rnacentral:rRNA from 1 species
GGGCGCACGGUGGAUGCCUUGGCACUAGGAGCCGAUGAAGGACGGGACGAACACCGAUAUGCUUCGGGGAGCUGUAAGCAAGCUUUGAUCCGGAGAUUUCCGAAUGGGGAAACCCACCACUCGUAAUGGAGUGGUAUCCAUAUCUGAAUUCAUAGGAUAUGAGAAGGCAGACCCGGGGAACUGAAACAUCUAAGUACCCGGAGGAAGAGAAAGCAAAUGCGAUUCCCUGAGUAGCGGCGAGCGAAACGGGAUUAGCCCAAACCAAGAGGCUUGCCUCUUGGGGUUGUAGGACACUCUGUACGGAGUUACAAAGGAACGAGGUAGAUGAAGAGGUCUGGAAAGGCCCGCCAUAGG